CCCCUGGAAGUGGACGCAAGCACAUACCCAUACCCUGCAACGAGACUACUACGAGCAACAGUGGUGUUGUUUGUUGCGUGAAGAGUUCGUUGGCUUGUGGUUUUCGACUUCGCGGAGGUUGCGGAGGAAGACCGUCCAUGAGUUGCAUCUGCGCUUGACAUAUCAGCAACGCAGCCGUCAGCUGUCACCCAAUGUAUGCUGAGUGGGCGUCACAGCACACAGCAUGAGAAAUGGCCCCUUUUUCUCAUGAUCACAGGAAUGAAUCUGGUAUUCAGAUUUGCCCCAAGUCACCAGCAGAAACAAGCCAGCUACUUGAGGAAGACUUAAGUUUAUAAUGUUAGAAACAAUAAAGAAUUAAAAUACUA